rnacentral:rRNA from 1 species
UACGAAGGGGGCUAGCGUUGCUCGGAAUGACUGGGCGUAAAGGGCGCGUAGGCGGCUCAUACAGUCAGACGUGAAAUCCCUCGGCUUAACCGGGGAACUGCAUCUGAUACUGGAUGGCUUGAGUUCGGGAGAGGGAUGCAGAAUUCCAGGUGUAGCGGUGAAAUGCGCAGAUAUCGGGAGGAACACCUAUGGCGAAGGCAGCUCGCUGGGACGUUACUGACGCUGGAGAACGCGAAAGCGUGGGGAGCAAACAGG